GCAGACACAUUCCAGCCAAUCAGCAGCAGACCCUCCCUCCAGACCCUCCCACCUCCUGGACAGCUCCCUAAGAAUGCAGCUUCACAAUGAAUGUAAAAUGGAUGCUGUCCAGGAGAUGGGAGGGUCUGGGAGGGAGGGUCUGCUGCUGAUUGGCUGGAAUGUGUCUG